GAGUUUUACAAUCUGUUUGGUUUCCAUUCCCUCUGAGGAAGCACUGAUGUGCGAAACGUUAGGGAGAAACUGAACAGAAAUUCUAAUUGUGGAUUUCACUGGGUGUUUGUUUUUUGCCUUUUAUUUUGAGUGGUUUUAAAGAAGAAAAGCCCAUUGAUAAAAAUAAAGGUAUUUUAAACUGGUUAACAGGGGGCUCAACACCUACAAAAACAAAAUGAAGGCACCAAAUCAAAAUGGUGUCUGCAGAACCAGAUAAACAAAAGAAAAAAGAACAAAUUCUAACCUCUACCUGGCUUGAGAGAGACCUAGGUGGGAGAACACGACAGCCUCCACAGCACCAGAUCUACAGUGGGAGAAGACCAGAGGUCUCAACAUGAAACUACUAGAAUGAGCAGAGCAGCUCCCUGGGGCCCCACCUACAGUCUUGGACCCAACUUCACAAGCACAUUGUUCUACUCAAGGGCCAGAAGGAUCCGGGCCUUCAACUCCAGCAGUAGGUACAAGGGAAAAAGGUUCCCCACUCGUAAAAGAUACUGAUGGGCAUAUGAUGAAGGGAGAUGCAAAGGGGAAUUCCCCAAAACUGCAAACCCAAUCUGAGCCCUCCCAUUUUAACAAAAUUCCCACUACUCACACCAAGGAUAACUUCUCUGACUUCACCAUUACAUUAGAUGAUAGCCUGUCACAGGAGGAGGCGAACCAACCUCAACUCCUGUUCAAACCACAUCGUCAUCCAAACACAGACAGAAAAGCUCAAGAUUGGAGUCUCACGGUGACAAAACCCAUCUUGAUUAUCGGAGACUCCGACAUCAGUAGAAUCCCCCAUUACACAGAUUCAUCAAUACAAAUUGACAGUUUCCCAGGGGCCAAUUUCCUAUAUAUAGGAAAAAAUUGUCAGAAAUUACCACCAAACCCACACAUACAGAAGAUCAUACUUUCAGUGGGAAUAGAUGACCAGCAACCCUACAAAACAGCGAUCAAACAAUUACAGUUUAUGUGGAGAAUGGCGGCAGCAGGUUUCCCCAAUGCAAGCUGGUAUACAUCUAUCAUUCAAUUUUCAGAUCACCUUUCAUUCCAACACAAACAAACCUGAUAACUCUGAAUACAUAUAUUGAACACCAUGGUAACCCUCUGCUGGAGCUGGACAAACUACUGUUCCACGUUGAUCCCAGGGAUAACAUCCAUUGGACGCCAACAACGGCCUCACAAAUCCUUGAAUAUUGGCUGGAACAAUUAAAUUGGUAGAGCGGGGAAAGUGCGAGGCAUCACAACAGACACACACCAACAUAUUUAAUUUAUCAAAAACCCUGGCACUUUCCCAGUCGGAGUUGUUGCGUAAGGGCCUUCUGUAACACAGCGUACAAAGGUGACACUGUUGCUAAAGAAUAUUUAUAAAAGAACUCAACUCACAUAUGGACCAGAUAUCAGAAGACCAGACUCAACUCAGGAGGAGAGGAGAAUGCAGUGCAGUGACAACAGCGAAAUAACCCACAGAGACUGAAUUUGAAAGUUGGCUACAGGACUUGACACUUGCUACUGGUAAGAUAUGCUUUUGACAAUGGCUCGUCAGCCUUAUAUCUGCAGCGGCUCCAGCAGGGUUGGGCAGUAACAGGAUGAAGGCAAAAUCCAGAUCCAAGGGACAGUUCUCACCAUAGCAAAAAAAAAAAAAAACUCCAGCCUUGCAUAACAAAGCCAAAAAACAAUGAACAUUUAUACAUUUAAUUUCUUAUAACUGCAUUAAACUCAUAUACACCAACACAGACUGUAUGUAUGUGUAUGUUAAUUAAUAAACAUAUAUUAAUCUCAUUAAA